AGCUUUGCGCAGUGGCAGUAUCGUAGCCAAUGAGGUUUAUCCGAGGCGCGAUUAUUGCUAAUUGAACAUAAAACCAGCCAGAGUCCCAAUGCAGGGGGCACUCAAAGUAUUUUGAUGACUGGAGUCCCAUUUCUUGGAGGUUUUUCUCUAGA
rnacentral:snRNA from 1 species